rnacentral:rRNA from 1 species
GAUCCUGGCUCAGGAUGAACGCUGGCGGCGUGCCUAACACAUGCAAGUCGAACGAGGUAAAUAAGAUGAAGUUUUCGGAUGGAUUCUUAUUUGUCGAGUGGCGGACGGGUGAGUAACGCGUGGGUAACCUGCCUCAUACAGGGGGAUAACGAUUGGAAACGAUUGCUAAUACCGCAUAAGCGCACAGUACCACAUGGUACAGUGUGAAAAACUCCGGUGGUAUGAGAUGGACCCGCGUCUGAUUAG